rnacentral:tRNA from 1 species
GGAGAGGUGUCCGAGUGGUUUAAGGAGAUAGUCUUGAAAACUAUUGUGCCGGCAACGGUACCGUGGGUUCGAAUCCCACCCUCUCCGCCA